CGCUGGCGGCGUGCUUAACACAUGCAAGUCGAACGAUAAGGCCCUUCGGGGUACACGAGUGGCGAACGGGUGAGUAACACGUGGGUGAUCUGCCCUGCACUUCGGGAUAAGCCUGGGAAACUGGGUCUAAUACCGGAUAGGACUCCUGGCUUCAUGGUUGGGGGUGUAAAGCUUUUGCGGUGUGGGAUGGGCCCGCGGCCUAUCAGCUUGUUGGUGGGGUAAUGGCCUACCAAGGCGACGACGGGUAGCCGGCCUGAGAGGGUGACCGGCCACACUGGGACUGAGAUACGGCCCAGACUCCUACGGGAGGCAGCAGUGGGGAAUAUUGCACAAUGGGCGCAAGCCUGAUGCAGCGACGCCGCGUGAGGGAUGACGGCCUUCGGGUUGUAAACCUCUUUCAAUAGGGACGAAGCGCAAGUGACGGUACCUAUAGAAGAAGGACCGGCCAACUACGUG
rnacentral:rRNA from 1 species